CUGAGGAGGGAGGAUUCGAACCUCCGCCGGCAGAUCCAGAGUCUGCUGUCCUACCGCUAGACGACUCCUCA
rnacentral:tRNA from 1 species